ACACGAUCCGUGGUGAAGAUUUCUGUUACUUCGCCUGCAGCGCGAGAGGUCGCGGGUUCGAAUCCCGCCCGGUGUCCCA
rnacentral:tRNA from 1 species